rnacentral:lncRNA from 1 species
GAAGGAAAGUAGGUGAGUCAAUGUUUCCAAAUACAAGUAAGAAUUAGAACUUUGGAUUUUUAUACCUCAUAGUAUAUGAAACAAGAUUUCUAAGGAGUUUGUUUGAAAACUUGUUCAUAAUUGUAUCUGGCUGUGUAAAGUAUAUUAGAUACAAAGUAAAAAAAAAUACUUGGUUGUGAUAAUUGCUAUGAGUUGGAAUUCUUGUUCCAAUGUGAUGUGACUUAAAAAUCAUCUAGUUGUCAAGCUCUGGAUAAAUUGGUAGAAAGGGCAUUCAUUCAUUCAUUCAUUCAUUCAUUCAUUCAACAAGUAAUGAUUUAUAUGUCAGACACUGAUAUAAAAGCGGGGGACACAGUUGUGGACAAAGCAAUGAUCAAUUCCAGCCCCAAAGAGCUUUCUUUUUCUAGCAAUCCACGUGCAGGGUUAGAAUAGUGAAUAGGAGGCAAAUCUCAGCAACCUCACUUAACAGAUUGAGCAAAUCACCUUAUUCUCUUUCUCUUCUGCUGCCUCACCCAGAAAAAAGGAUUCAGAAGAGGCAUUAGUUUGCUAGGUUUAUCAUAACAAAGUAUCACCAAGUCGGUAGCUUAAAUAACAAAAAUGUAUUGUUUUAUAGUUCUUGAAAUUAGAAGUCUGAAAUUAGGGUGUUGGAAGUGUUGGUUCCUUCUGAGCACUGUGAGGGAAAGGGUCUGUUCCAGACCUCUCUCCUUGCCUGGCAGAUGAUAAUUUUUCCCUGGGUCUCUCCCAAUUUUUCCCUGUGUUUCUGUAUAUUCAAAUAUUUCCCUUUUUUAAAAAAGGAUUUUAUUUAUUUAUUUGAGAGAAAGAGAGAGAGAAAGCAGGGAAGAGGGGCAGGGAGCCCAAUGUGGAGUCCCAUCCCAUGACCUGAGUUGAAGGCAUCAUGACCUGAGUUGAAGGCAGAUGCUUAACUGACUGAGACACCCAGGUGCCCUCAAAUAUUCCCUUUUAUAAGGACAUGGGUCAUGUUGAAUUAAGACCCUCCUUAAUGACUUCAUUUUAAUUCAAUUACCCUGUAAAGACACUACCUCCAAAUAAAGUCACAUCCUGAAUUACUGAUGCUUAGGACUUCAACAUAUUAUUUUGGAGGAGAAGAGAAACAACUCAACUUAUAACAGUAUACCUACCCCCUUUGCCAGUUCUUUGGAUGGCACAGUGGUUAGUGCUCACACUCUAGGCCAACCUGUCCACAUCAGAUUGGUCUUUGAGUGCUAAGGCUGCUUCUUCCUGACUUUUGUUACCUUACUUAACCUAUUUGAGCUCCCACUUCAUUGAAAACUGGGACCUACCUCAUAGGCAUUGUGAAGGUCAAAUUAGCAAAAUAUGGAUCUGGCAUGUGCUAAGCAUUCAAUAAAUGGCAGCUAUUAUUACUAUAUGUAUUAUAAAUGACGGUAGACUAAGUUUAUGUGUAAAAAGAAAAAAGGGAGGUAGAGGACUUUAUAAAAAAUAGUGUACUACAAAACCCAAUAUUUUUAUUUCUAAAUGGUUUUAUGUCUUUUAGGGCAUUUUUCACAUGCUCCUAAUAACCCACUUGGAUGGAUAUUAUUAUUCCCAUUUUACAGAUGAGAACAUUGAAGUCCAGAAAUGGCUAUAAAAAGGUAAGCAAGGGAUUAGAGUAUUUACAGUUCUCUCAGAAAUCCCAGAUACAGUGCUCUUUUCCUUUUUUUCCCCCUUUGUCAUCCUAUAGCUCUUAAGCCCACACGCUGAGCAAGUCACAAUGUAAACUAUCCAGACAAGAAGCUGUCCAAAGGAAUUCAGAGCAUCUUUGCGCUCCUUGCUGAAUAAUUAAAAUCCUCAACACACUCAGGCUUGGAUUGGUUUCCUAAACGCCUUCACGCUUUGGAAGCUGGGGAGUUUGGCUCCUCGGGGACCUUUAUGUUCCUUUUCAAACCCAAAGCAAUGGACUUGAAAAUCUAAAUCCAAAAAGCUAACAAAGACCUUAUUAAUUGUGGCUUCUUUAUAAACAGGUUUUUUUUUUCCCCACUCUUUUCCCCCCUCGCUCUAGGCAACCCUUGCAUAAAAAUAUCCAUUCGCCAACUGUUCACCAACUGUUCUUCCUCUCACUGGCAUACCUUGUGCCGCAUUCUAAGAUGCCAAAGCGCGUCUUUGCUGCAGCCCUCCACGCUGCCUGCCGGGCUUGCUGCCAUAGGGUCCUGCUACAGGGGGGAGCAUGUGGGAGAAGGGGAGGGGUGAUGUCUCUGGCAGAGGAAGCCUGGGCCAUGUGGCGAUUAAGGCUAAGGUGGAAAGUCAGAACCCAUGCCUUAGACUUUGCAGUCAGGAAUAACCUAGGUUUGGAUCUCCUCUCUGCUGUGUUCUUGCUGUGUGUUAUCACUCAAAUUAUGUUACUCUCUGAGCCCAGCUUGGCUCUCCUGUAAAAGGCAGAUAAUAACUGUUUCUAAGAAUUGUCAUGAUGAUCAAAUAAACUCGUGCAUGUGAUGGCCUUGAUAUGGUGCUUGGCAUGUUACACAAGCUCCACAAAUGUAAAUUUCCUUUAUCCUAAGAAACUCGUGGUCCAGGAAUAGGGAGAAGCAAACUCACAAAAAGGGAAAUCCACACAAGUGUUAAACAUGAAGAAAUACAAUACUAUAAAAGAUAGCACAGGUAAAUAUCUGAUGACUUACUCAGAAAGAGGAAAUGGCUGCAAGUUCUAGAUUUCAGAGGAGAUUUUUGGAAGCUGAACAGAGACCUGUUAUGCUCUUUUUCUAGCCCAGCCCCUUCACUUAAUAUCCAGGUAAAUUGAGGCAAAUAAUUCCUUAAUUAAUUCCACAAACAUUCACAGGUACUGACAUGGGCUAGGGCUAAGCCAUGGAAACACAGAUGAAUGGUCUCUUCGCUUGACCUUCUGGAACUCACAGGGAAGCUGGCUCACAGAGGAACCUGUUUGCAGGCUCCCUGCAAACACAUAGCAGCAGGUCAGAGAGACAGAAUCACAUGGGUGCUAAUGGAACAGUCCCGCAGGAGGGGGACAGACUAGGGAAAUAUUAGCUCUGCUAUACCUAACAUUAUGGCCUUGGCAAGUGGCUUAACUUUUCUCAGCCUUGUUUUCCUCCUUGGAAAAAUGAAUAGAAUAACAGUUACUUCCUCGGGUUGCUGUGAUGAUUAAAUGGCAAAAUGCUUGUGAAGGCAUAGAGCAUAGAAGGUACAUAAGAGUUCAGUAAAGGCUAGCUGGUAUAAUUUAAGGUAAAGAUGUAUAUACAUAUCCUUAAAUUUCAAAAUUAUGAUAAUAUGUACAUGUAUAUAUAUAGUAUAUGUGUAUAUAUAAUGUGUGUGCAUAUGUAUAUUAGAUAUGUAUAUAAUUGUUAUGCAUGUGUGUACACACACACACACACACACAUAGUUCUAAAAAAAUGCUGUUGAAAACCCUUGAUCUUUGAAGUUUUUAAUGUC